rnacentral:rRNA from 1 species
UGGCGCACGGGCGAGUAACGCGUGGGAAUAUACCUAGAAGUAUGGAAUAACCUCUGGAAACGGUGGAUAAUACCAUAUGUCCCCUGAGGGGGAAAGAUUUAUCGCUUCUAGAUUAGCCCGCGUGACAUUAGCUUGUUGGUGAGGUAAAGGCUCACCAAGGCGACGAUGUCUAGCUGGUCUGAGAGGAUGACCAGCCACACUGGAACUGAGACACGGUCCAGACUCCUACGGGAGGCAGCAGUGGGGAAUAUUGGGCAAUGGGCGAAAGCCUGACCCAGCCAUGCCGCGUGAAUGAUGAAGGCCUUAGGGUUGUAAAAUUCUUUCGCAGGUGAAGAUAAUGACGGUAACCUGAUAAGAAGCCCCGGCUAACUUCGUGCCAGCAGCCGCGGUAAUACGAAGGGGGCUAGCGUUGUUCGGAAUUACUGGGCGUAAAGAGUAUGUAGGCGGAUAUCUAAGCUAGAGGUGAAAGCCCAAGGCUUAACCUUGGAACUGCCUUUAGAAC